rnacentral:rRNA from 1 species
UACGUAGGGGGCAAGCGUUGUCCGGAAUCAUUGGGCGUAAAGCGCGUGUAGGCGGCUCGAUAAGUCUGCUGUGAAAGUCCAGGGCUCAACCCUGGGAUGCCGGUGGAUACUGUCGAGCUCGAGUCCGGAAGAGGCGAGUGGAAUUCCUGGUGUAGCGGUGAAAUGCGCAGAUAUUAGGAGGAACACCGGUGGCGAAGGCGGCAUCCUGGACCGGCAUUGACGCUGAGGCGCGAAAGCCAGGGGAGCAAACGGG